rnacentral:rRNA from 1 species
GUCAACGGCCGCAGUACCCUGACUGUGCUAAGGUAGCAUAAUCAGUUGGCUUUUAAAUGGAGCCGGGAAUGAACGGAUUCAUAGGGUUAAGCUGUCUCUCUCAUAUUUAAUUGAAUUUACUUAUUAGGUGAAAAUGCCUAAAUUAAGAAAAAAGACGAGAAGACCCUAGGAGUUUUUACUAAUACUUUAUACAGGUUACGUUUUUGUUGGGGCGACAUGAGAGGAGUAAAACCUCUCUUCUUAUUGCGACUACAGUAUGAAAUUUAACUACCCUAGGGAUAACAGCGUAAUUCUUUUUGAGUUUGCGACCUCGAUGUUGGACUAGGAAUUUGGUGGGCUAGCCGCCUAUUAUAAUUGKUCYGUUCSRAC